GCCGUGAGGUGUUGCCUUAAGUGGCGCAACGAGCGCAACCCCUGUCCUUAGUUGCCAGCGGGUAAUGCCGGGAACUCUAGGGAGACUGCCGGUGCCAAACCGGAGGAAGGUGGGGAUGACGUCAAGUCAUCAUGCCCCUUAUAUCCAGGGCUGCACGCAUGCUACAAUGCGCGAUACAGAGGGUUGCGAUCCCGCAAGGGGGAGCGAAUCCCAAAAAGUCGCGCUCAGUUCGGAUCGAGGUCUGCAACCCGACCUCGUGAAGUCGGAGUCGCUAGUAAUCGCAGAUCAGCUACGCCGGGGUGAAUACGUUCCCGGGCCUUGUACACACCGCCCGUCACACCACGAAAGUCGGCAACACCCGAAGUCAGUGGCCCAACCCGCAAGGGGGGGAGCUGCCGAAGGUGGGGUUGGUGAUUGGGGUGAAGUCGUAACAAGGUAGCCGUACCGGAAGGUGCGGCUGGAUCACCUCCUUUCUAAGGAGCAUCCGAGUAACUCACUCGGAGCACCUGUUGAGGCACUGGCUAGUUUGGUCUGCACGGCACGGUCGAUACUCGAGUUCACUCGUAUCGACAGUAAAGGGCAGAUCGUUCCAUCCUCUCUUCCGUUUUGAGGGAACGCAGUUUCCUCGUUCAAUCGAGCUUGUGCGCGGGCACUCCCAUGGGACCCCGCCCGCUCGAUGUGCCCUUUGAGAAUUGCAUAGCGAACACGAGCAUCUUUCUUCCAAUUUUAGAAUUCCAAGCUACAAAGAGCCAACGGCGGAUGCCUUGGCGUCUACUACCGAUGAAGGACGCGGGAGGCUGCGAAAAGCCACGGUGAGCUGCCGACCAAGCUUUGACCCGUGGAUGU
rnacentral:sRNA from 1 species